AAGUGCAGAAAAGAGCGGGCCCUGCCUGUGUGCUGGCAACAGCUCCGUCCCCUACAAGUCUGUAGAUUCUUGGUGUGAAUGAUGGUUUCCACCUUGCUAACACACUCUGUUGAUCAAUGAGGAGCAAAGAAAAUGCACAGUGGUGGCAGCGCAUGCCUUUAAUCUCAGCACUUGGGAGGCAGAGGCUCGUGAAUCUCUCUGAGACAAGUGGCCUCCAUGGGAGAUGAAGAGGGACCCUGUAGAGUCUAAGGAAGCAAGGGAAAGGACCCGUUUUGCUGCUUGAGAACACGCUGGGGUUAAAAGGAUGAUGAAGGAUGAAAACCAGCAAUGUCUGCAGCCCCAAAUAAGACAGCUUCUAUCUGGGGAUGAGAUAAACAAGAGGAACAGACAGAGGAGGGGCAGGACCCAGGGCUGGGGACGGCAGGUUCUGCCUGCUCUCCAGCCCUGUGCCCAAAGCCUUCGAGGAACACAGGUAAGGCACCUCUACCCUUCCGCACGUCCUAUGCCUAAUGCUGCUGAUUGUAACAGAUGGAUUUGUAAGGAUGGCUUCCCACAAGAAACCUCCAACAGGAGACCAUGCAGGCCCCUCCACAGUAGGGAGCUAAAUGAUAGGUAAGGAAGGACUGCAGUCUACCUGGCAGGAAGAGACUUAAGUCUCUGCUGUGGGAGAGCUGCAAGCUGGUCAUGGAGAGACCAGUAAAGGCAACAUGGUCUAGUUAACCCCAAGCAAAGCACUUGUGAUGCUGACCAUAGUAAUGCCGAUCAAUGCUAGCAGGAAACCAAGGCCCCUAGAAAGCAUGUCUCAGAGAUGGACAGAGGUGGGUGGGGCCUUCAACCACCCUAACUGAGUGGGUAGCACAUGACUAUCUGCCUGGCUGGGCUAGAGGGACAUUUACAGUAUGUGGGCCUUCCAUUGGCUCAGUCUAUGAUGCUCCCAGAGAGCCAUCUCAUAGAAUUACCCAGACUCCCUCCAGUCUGUACCAUGACCUGAUCAAAACCCCUGACAAGGAAUCAUCGGGGCUUUUUCCCUCCUGAAAACCCCUCCACUCUGAAGAGUCUCACUUUACUGUAACUCCCCACUGGGCUGUAAUUUUAUUUGCAAAGCUUGCUUCUGCUAUGUCUUUAAUUUCAGCUAGAGUGAGACAACAACCUCAAAGACACUGCCCCAGGUCUGUCUGUGGUAACCGGGAGUGUCUAGCAGUUCAAAGCUUCAGAAGCAUGAGUGGGUCAAUAAAGGUCCAAUUACACUAAAAUAAGCAAAGAACAAAACCCUGAACCAACACCAGGUUAAUUAUUACUGUUCUGAUCUCCUAACAAGGCCAAGACAUAAGAAAAACCUAAACAGGUACGUUCCCACCGACUUUUUAUUUGAUGGCAAAGGGAUUCAGAAAUUAGCAUGAGAGAACAUUCAGCGUAGUAUGGGACAGCCACCCUAACCCAAGAUUCAGGCUUGAAGUGAUAGUCCUUUGCUUCUGUCCUAAGUUUCCCAAAGAGAUACAGUCUGCAUUACAAUCCAGACAAAUCUGAUAUUCUAGCAGGGAGGCUCAAUGAGGCUAUACAUAAUUUCAAAGAUAAGGCUGACUAUACUUUCAAAAUAUAUGCUAAGAAGAUAUUAAAUGAAAAAUUAUGCAUAACAAUCUAAGAACAUAGACACAAAAUUUUGGAAAUAUCAAAGCUGGAGAUUGCUUCUUGGUAGGUUUGGAGCAGAUUAUCACUAACCUAGUAGCUUAGUGACAUGACUACCCCAGUGCCAUUUGAUGUAUCUCUGCUCAUUUAUUGUAUAAUGGCCAAUGGAUGCUUUCUUUACCAUGAAAGGCUGAGUACAAGAAAGGAAGCCAAGUCCUUGAAGCUGGUGUGUGUGUCCAGGAGUGUGCAUCUACACUCCACCCGUCCCCUAAAAGUAUAAGAUGACACUUAAGAUAUACAAGAAGAGGACCGGAUUGACCACUGCCUCUCCUGAGCCGACCCUUGGUCCUUUUUAAAAAGCUGUGGACACCUGCGGUGCCCUUCAAGAACAUCACCCUAAGACACUU